rnacentral:lncRNA from 1 species
CAAAACACUGGUUUCAGAUCUUAGAGUUCAAGUUAAAAGAAAUGCAGUGAAGAAAAAUGUAGAAAAUAUGUAUAAAAGAAUCCAUAUUCUGUAUUUCGCCCAGGGUUAUCAUAUUGGUUAAUACGGCAUGAGGUUUCCACUCCAUUCGCUAACUGAAAAACACCCAUGGCCUUCUGCGUCUAAUGACAAAGAAGUCUGAUAGCUCUCGUAUUCUGUCUUCCACCAAAUGUUUUGACUUCCCCAACAGAUUAAGAAGCUCACUUUCCCAUCAGUGCUAACUCUCUCCAUCCUAUCUGUCUGACCAGAACCUGCUCCUAA